ACUCCUGACCUCGUGAUCUGCCCUCCUUGGCCUCCCAAAGUGCUGGGAUUACAGGCAUGAGCCAUUGCAUCUGGCCUACCAGAGACUCUUAAGUGUCCUUGUUAGUUUUCUCCUUCCCUCUCUGUCUCUCAGUUCCAGGCUCACAUCAAAUCAUCCUUGAUUUCAGAGCGCCUACCAAAAAGAAAUUUCCCAGGGAAAGGCUGUGACUGGCUAGACCUGGGUCAUGUGCCCCACCCCGGAACAAUCUUUGCAACAGCGUGGGAGAAACACCAUGGUGGGUCAGGCCUGGGUUAUGUGCCCAGCCAUGUAGCCAGAAGGGAGGUGAAAGCGGAUGGACAGACCCACCAGAGCCACAAGAUACCUAAGGCUUCUAGUCCUUACACUGAAACAUGACUGAUACAAGGACCAAGAAGUGACCUUUGGAUUUAGAAAUCUGGAUGUCAUACGUAGGGCUGCCAUGUCAAAGGACCACAGAUCAGGAGGCUUCAACAACAGGAAUGUACUUUCUCAUAGCUCUGGAGUCUGGAAGUCCAAGAUCAAGGUAUCAGCAGGGUUGUUUCUUCUGAGGGCUCCCCUUGGCUGAUAGUGGCCGUCUUCUCCCUGUGUCCCCACGUGGGCUUCCCUUUGUGUGUGUCUGUGUCCUAAUCUCCUCUUCUUAUGUGGACACCAGGCAUACUGGGUGAGGGUCCACUUUCAUGAACUCACUCUACCUGAAUCAUCUCUUUUUUCUUUUCUUUUCUUUUCUUUUUUUUUUGUUUUUUGAG